rnacentral:rRNA from 1 species
UGGGGAAUAUUGCACAAUGGGCGAAAGCCUGAUGCAGCAACGCCGCGUGAGUGAUGAAGGUCUUCGGAUUGUAAAGCUCUGUCUUUUGGGACGAUAAUGACGGUACCAAAGGAGGAAGCCACGGCUAACUACGUGCCAGCAGCCGCGGUAAUACGUAGGUGGCGAGCGUUGUCCGGAUUUACUGGGCGUAAAGGGUGCGUAGGCGGAUGUUUAAGUGAGAUGUGAAAUACCCGGGCUUAACUUGGGUGCUGCAUUUCAAACUGGAUAUCUAGAGUGCAGGAGAGGAGAAUGGAAUUCCUAGUGUAGCGGUGAAAUGCGUAGAGAUUAGGAAGAACACCAGUGGCGAAGGCGAUUCUCUGGACUGUAACUGACGCUGAGGCACGAAAGCGUGGGUAGCAAACAGGAUUAGAUACCCUGGUAGUCCACGCCGUAAACGAUGAGUACUAGGUGUAGGAGGUAUCGACCCCUUCUGUGCCGCAGUAAACACAUUAAGUACUCCGCCUGGGAAGUACGAUCGCAAGAUUAAAAACUCUAAAGUGAAUUGAC